GGUGGAAAAUCAUACAGGAUCUUUCUCUGGACCUGAAAGGGCCACUUUUGUCACUGGUGGGACAGAGAAGAGAGAGAAUAUGAAAUGGAUUCUGUUCUUCCUUCCAGGCCCAAGGACUCACGGCUGGGGAGCAGGUUCUUUUUCUCUGCUCUGCCAUCUUCAGCGUGUUGACUGAUCUCUUUUGCUGGCUGCCUCACAGUGUCGAAUGGCUGCCCCAGUUCCAGACAUCAUGUGAAGAUGACAACACCCUGCGGAAGGAGAGUCCACUUAUUGUCUUCUCUCUCCUUUUAUCAGCAGGAAAAAAAAAUCUUUUCCAGAAGCCCACCUUGGAGGAUGUCUACUGUGGUCUCAUUGGCCAGAAUAGUGCCAGGUGCUCAAAUCUAAGCCAGUCAAUAGCAAGAAACAUGGAAUUACCAUUUUUUUUUUUAAUCAAGUGGAUCAAGGGUCAUCUUCCUAGAUUCCUGGAAAUACAUGCGUGUUAGAUUUCUGAACAAAGAAAAUACUAAUUGGCAAAGGAAAAGGGAUGUGGCUUUAUAUAGGCAACAGUGUCUAUUACUUUGUGUCAAAUAAAGCAAAGUGUUUAAAAUGUG